UUUUUUUUUUUUUUGGACAAAUAAUUCUCAACCCAACAAUCAUUGUCGGUGAGAUGAAAAGAGAUGAAACAACAAACCCAGAAAAAUUUCAUGCUAAUCUUCGAUCUGAAAAUAGAAAACGUAAUACUGCUUAGAUCGAGCUUUAUCGUUGCUUUUAUCAAGUUUCUACCACUGAUUCCGAAUUAUAGAAACAGUUUGUGCAAUUCUCUGUUUGAAUAGAUUCAUUGGGAGAUGACUGUGAAGAACCCAAGCUUCUGAAUAAUAACAUAGAUGAUGAUGUUGCCAAAAGAAGAUGAUUUAGAAAGAUAAGUUGUUCAUACGAUUAUUACUAUUGCAUAGGAUCAAGAUAUGUGUAAUGACAUAGAUUAGAAAGAUUAUAUUUCAUAAGUAAUAAUAUGAUGAGAAUCAUAUAUUUAAAAGCUAACUAUUGUUACUAUAUGCGCAGAUUAAGGAAAGAAAUCAUGCAAUCAAGAUUGACUGAUGAUUUAGGAUCUUAAACCAAUUACAUAAGACCAGGCAACAUCUUUAAAGAAGGCAAAUGUGAAAGCAAUGAUAAAGCCAGUCCAGCUUCUGAAAGCACUGAUAAAGGUUA